ACUGAGACACGGUCCAGACUCCUACGGGAGGCAGCAGUGGGGAAUAUUGCACAAUGGGCGCAAGCCUGAUGCAGCCAUGCCGCGUGUAUGAAGAAGGCCUUCGGGUUGUAAAGUACUUUCAGCGGGGAGGAAGGUGCUGUGGUUAAUAACCGCAGCAAUUGACGUUACCCGCAGAAGAAGCACCGGCUAACUCCGUGCCAGCAGCCGCGGUAAUACGGAGGGUGCAAGCGUUAAUCGGAAUUACUGGGCGUAAAGCGCACGCAGGCGGUCUGU
rnacentral:rRNA from 1 species